CAAAGUUGUCAGUCUCACUCUCCCUUCCAGAGUCACUAUUCAACUUGGCAUGUCAAGUGCCCAAAGGGUGACUAUCCCCACUCCCAAGUAAUUUUGUUUCAGGGGCUUAGAUGAAGCUGUUCUACCACUGGGCUGGCCCACCACUGGAAUACUGGAUUCCAAAAUGGCUUAAUGCUUUUACACAAGCCCUCAGGACAUGAUUGAUUCUCCCCAGCCAAUCACAAGACAUUUCCUGUAUGGAGUCAUUUGCUUUCAUCCAACAGCUCAAAGGUGGAAAACAGAACAAGUCUGCCUUCCUCCACAGGAUAACCCUUCACCUCCUUGAGAAGAGCCAAUAUGGCCUCCUUGAAUCAACUCUUUAGCAGAAUAAACACUCCCAGUUUCUUUAACCAACCUUUAGAUGACAUGUACACUGAGUGGUCCUUCUCUGGACAUUCCCCACCUUAUCGAUGUCCUUAAACUGUGGUGCCCAGAACCGAACACAAUACUCCAUGUGACGUCUAACAAGCGGGAGUACAUUUCCUGUAGCUAAUGAUUGAUUCCCAGGCCUCUAAAGAUAAGGAGAUUCACUCCCAUGAAGGUAACUCAAGCAUAAAUGUUUGUAAGCAUCAU